CGUAUUACACGUGUGCUGCGGCAAAUAUAUCUCGCGGUAAGAAAACUGCGAUAGAAACAGUCUGCGGCUGCAGGUAAAACCAUUUUAUACACCGUCGUCGUAUGUGUACAUCGAGAGUACCUCGAUUUCCUCCCGUUGGACCGACGCAAAAAACCUGCGGGUAAAAAUUAGUCUUUUGUAAAAAAUCCAUUUUUCGGAUCGAUCGAGAACGCUUUACAUUCGAUUAUAGUCAGUCCCACAAUCUACCCUCGGAGUCGCUCGUGGAAGGACCCGUCCGAGAGCUUUUUUUCAACCCCUGAAAAAAUUAAUCCUCCGAAAAAUUGUGAAUAAAAUUUCACUUUCUCGCAUACCAAGGAGGACGUGAGAAGCUUUACCGCAAACUACUAAUUCAACCUCCCGUAGAUUCGAGAUCUCGAGUCGCCUCGCGUACUUUUAAACGAACGGAAAAAACGCAACGAGCGGGUUAUACGUAUCGAGUUCAGGGGCACGGUUUGUCGCGACGACUAACCACAGCAGCAAUCGUACCUACGGGCUAUACCUGUAGGUAGGUAUGCUUCGAAAAACCGCUCUUAUCCCGAGCUGUUUUCCUGGUAGAUGAACCAGUAGGACGUAUGCGCGAAUCUCGCGUCGUUAAACGUCGCGUCGACGGUACAUCCGACGUUCUUCCAAUUUCUAACUUCGUAUAUACCUAUACGGUGACGCGACCGCGCACCCUGGACAAACGCGAGGUGAGGUGCGCGUCCUCCGGCUAGGGGUGGCUGCUCGAUUCAGAGGUUAGAGAACGGCGAUGCGGAGGGUAGCUUCGUUAUCUAUUUCCCAUUUUUUCUUCCGAUCGGUUAAAUCGGAGUCCGUGGAAACGAUGAGAUAAAAUGACGUCGAGUUCUCGGACCUCGAGGAAAUUUCGAUACCAAUCGCUACUGUGUCAUUCCCGCGAAAUCAUUCGAGGAGGGUAACAAAGGAGAUCAAGCACGGAGUUAAAAACCGUAAGCAAAGGAUGAUGACUCGAUCGACAAAGGCAACGAUUCCGUUGCGUUUCCAGUCGUCAAACUGUAACAACGAUACAAAAAUGAUCGAAUCACGAAGAAGUGGAACAUGGCCGUCAACCGAGUUUCGAAAAUAGGAAGAACGAGGUGUGUCGGGUAGGAGUCUCGGAGAGCGUCGAUCGGCGUAGAUGAAUUAUUAGCGCUGACGUAAUAUUUCCUUAUCAUUUGAUACCCGCGUCUGUGACGAAACUCUGUAUAUUAAACCGAAGGAAAGGAGAAGGGGGAAGAGGCUUACGACGGCAAGACGUCGAUUUGGAUUAUUAUCACGCCAGUUGGAUGAUUGCGGGUUUUAGUGGAGAUCCAAGGGUGGAAAAGAUGCAGAAGAAAUAUACCGCGCGCGGUACAACAUCGUGGUCUGAGGUAGCGAAACUUCUACCUCGCGCCGCGCGCCGUCAGAACCAGAUAUUGCUCGGCAAAAACUACGGCUUUCAGUAAAAUACGCGACUGAGACUACAAUUACGGCGGGAUGGGAAUAACUUCCAUGUUCCUCGUAGUUUGAGCUGGUGAUGACAAGCAUCUUAUUCCGUUUGAGUUUCAACUGACAACGAGUUUGACAGUCGUUGCAUCUCCGGUUCGGUACAAGCCAUUGUUCGAAAGCAAGGAAUAGGAAGAGACUACACACUGAAUCAUCGCUGCAACAGGCGUUGUCCUGCACAAUUAUAUUACACUCGCAACAGAGUCCUAUGUAUUCUCCCUCGGAAGCUACCUACCUCCGCACGCUCCACGCUAUUUUAUAUAAAUCGCACGAACCCUGCAGCAAGGCACGUGAUCUGGUAACAAAUUAUCGACGACGCUCAAUCGAAAUACACUCCACUCCACUUUACAUCUUGCACCUAAUCCGGAAUCGCUUAAUGGUCGCAUCGACUUUGCUACCGACACUUUUCAUACGUAAUACCCUCCAGCUGUGACGGGGAGCAACGUAAUUGACGUGAAAAUUAGACGCGUUAAUUUCAAAUUCAUCCCGCGUUAUAUCGAGUCGCUGCAAGUGCUGAGUUAAGCUAUACCCGCAUGCUCGCACGCUUAAUGCUCCGUUGUGGAAAACGCUUCGAGACGGUAGAAAUUCAAAUAGAAAAUUGUCGUGACUUCGCUGAAAUUAACGUGUACGCUGCAAAGAAGCUGAGAGCUGUUUAAAGUUGGUUAACGCCCGAAUAUAGCUAAUGCACUUGGAUAAUUAGAAUAUACCGCGUGGCCUGUAGAAAAAAAAAAAAAAGAGAAAAAAAAAACCUCAACAAGGGAAACAAAGGGUUAAUUACUGCUCAACGCUUGGCGAGAUCCUGCGGCUAAUUUUUGUUGUUCGUGUCACAUGAGAAUUAAAAGAACGGAGAAUUUUUUAAAUUUUCAUUUCGAAAAAUCGGGAGGCAUGAAAUAGUCUCGGCGGUGCAGGCUUUUUGGAAUCAUUUUUCAGUUCUAUGCAGUUCAGAAGCCUUUUCGAUCUUUAGAAAUCAAUUAAAAUCGCAAUAGCUUCGAUGUCACUCUGAAUUUCUUGACACGAGGAAGAAGUUUGCCAGGAUUUGUUGGCUGCGCCGAACUUUUAUUUGAUUAUUUAAAUUGGACCAUUUGUUUUUUUUUUUUUUACGUCACUCUGUGCAUAGUCCAUAGAACCUUUCCGUUAUAGAAGUCGAAGGCUACGUUGGUUACAAUGAUAUUCAAAUUCAAUUGGGAAACGAGUGUACUUACAAUUAGUAUUGUGGAAAUACCUUUCGAAAUGUACUUACUGCUGAUGUUCUAACGGUAAAUUAUUCUUGAAAGUUCCAAGGCCAUCGCUAUCGUUAUUGUUAUACCUAAACUUCUCUUCAGUUUUACUUAAUCGUGCACUCCAAAGUCGAGGAAGUGCUGCGGUACGUACGCAAAGGUGUACCGUGUACGGCGGUUGUAUUUCGUAACGCGAAAUGUCAACGACAUGUUUGCUGACCCGAAUAAAUUCGAGAUCUCGAUCGUUGUUAAACCCGCUCAGAGGAAAAGUGCCCCCAGACCAUCUCAAGUUUCAUUGAACAUAAGAUUCUAAUCUUUUGUAGGAUCGACGAUGCUCAUUGAGGCUUUCAGGAUUCAGAAUUUCCGUAAAUCGUUGGAAAAAGGCCAUUGAACUCUGCAAGCGGCAAUUGGCUAGCCGUUUAUAACACGCAUCCAAUCUCUGAGUCGCACAUCAUUCGUUUCGUUAUCACAACGGACGGACGCGAACGAAAACAAUUAAAAUAGAAUCGACAACGAUACGAAACGCUGUUUCGCAGAUGCGACGAGCUGGAUUCGAGAACCAGAUCGCAGCUGCAAGUAACCGAAUAUGAAUUUUUCAAGGCCAUAGAUAUCCAUGGAAUUGUCAUGUCAGGUGUCGUUACCGUGCGGUAUAAAUUAUACAUUGAAUAAAAAAAAGAUGACCUACCACGUUGUUGGAGAUGCUGAGCGAUUCGUAGUCCGAAUCGACGUAGAAGAUGGAAUUUUGUUCCUGACGAAACCACAUCUUGAGGACCGGAUUAACCACCAUUUAGCACGAAGUGAUGGCAACAAAAAAAACGACGAAACUAUAGAACCAGGAACUUUUAACUCCAGCAAUACCUCGGAUGACACUUGAAAAAUUUUCUUUCACCAUGCAAGCAUUUUUAAAUAUAGAAUAUUCCUCAGA